rnacentral:rRNA from 1 species
ACGGCUCAGUAACACGUGGACAACCUACCCUCAGCACGGGGAUAAACCCGGGAAACUGGGUAUAAUACCCGAUAGUUCUGGGAUGCUGGAAUGCGUUCAGGACGAAAGCUCCGGCGACUGAGGAUGGGUCUGCGGCCUAUCAGGUAGUAGUGGGUGUAAUGUACCUACUAGCCUACGACGGGUACGGGUCGUGAGAGCGAGAGCCCGGAGAUGGAUUCUGAGACACGAAUCCAGCCCCUACGGGGUGCAGCAGGCGCGAAAACUUUACAAUGCUGGCAACAGCGAUAAGGGGACCUCGAGUGCCAGGAUACAAUCUUGGCUGUCGUAAUGCCUAAAAAGCAUUGCAUAGCAAGGGCCGGGCAAGACCGGUGCCAGCCGCCGCGGUAACACCGGCGGCUCGAGUGGUAACCGCUAUUAUUGGGUCUAAAGGGUCUGUAGCCGGCCGGAUAAGUCUUUUGGGAAAUCCAGCUGCUCAACAGUUGGGCUUUCAGAAGAUACUGUUCGGCUCGAGGCCGGGAGAGAUGAGAGGUACUUCAGGGGUAGGGGUGAAAUCUUGUAAUCCUUGAAGGACCACCAGUGGCGAAGGCGUCUCACCAGAACGGACCUGACGGCAAGGGACGAAAGCUAGGGGCACGAACCGGAUUAGAUACCCGGGUAGUCCUAGCCGUAAACGAUACUCGCUAGGUGUCAGCCACGGUGCGACCGUGGUUGGUGCCGUAGGGAAGCCGUGAAGCGAGCCACCUGGGAAGUACGGCCGCAAGGCUGAAACUUAAAGGAAUUGGCGGGGGAGCAC